UGUAAACUGCUUUAGCCAAGGGGGUAAACCUAACCGGUGCGUUGGUAGGUGAAGGUACCUGGAGAAUAAGCAUCGGCUAAUUCCGUGCCAGCAGCCGCGGUAAUACGGAGGAUGCGAGCGUUAUCCGGAUUUACUGGGUUUAAAGGGUGCGCAGGCGGUUGUUUAAGUCAGGGGUGAAAGCCCUAUGCUCAACAUAGGGAUUGCCUUUGAUACUGAACGGCUAGAGUGAAGAUGGAGUGGGUGGAAUGUGUUGUGUAGCGGUGAAAUGCAUAGAUAUAACACAGAACACCGAUCGCGAAGGCAGCUCACUAAUUUUCAACUGACGCUCAUGCACGAAAGCGUGGGGAUCAAACAGGAUUAGAUACCCUGGUAGUCCACGCUGUAAACGAUGAUCACUAGCUGUUGGUACGCUGAAGUAUCAGUGGCUAAGCGAAAGUGAUAAGUGAUCCACCUGGGGAGUACGACCGCAAGGUUGAAACUCAAAGGAAUUGACGGGGGCCCGCACAAGCGGAGGAGCAUGUGGUUUAAUUCGAUGAUACGCGAGGAACCUUACCAGGGCUCGAACGCAGGGGGGAUAUACCUGAAAGGGUAUAGCCAGCGAUGGUCGCCUGCGAGGUGCUGCAUGGUUGUCGUCAGCUCGUGCCGUGAGGUGUCAGGUUAAGUCCUAUAACGAGCGCAACCCCUAUCCAUAGUUGCCAGCGGGUAAAGCCGGGGACUCUAUGGGAACUGCCUGCGCAAGCAGAGAGGAAGGAGGGGAUGACGUCAAAUCAGCACGGCCCUUAUGUCCUGGGCUACACACGUGCUACAAUGGUCGGUACAGAGGGCAGCGACCACGUGAGUGGGAGCCAAUCCUUAAAAGCCGAUCUCAGUUCGGAUUGGAGUCUGCAACCCGACUCCAUGAAGUUGGAUUCGCUAGUAAUCGCGCAUCAGCCAUGGCGCGGUGAAUACGUUCCCGGGCCUUGUACACACCGCCCGUCAAGCCAUGGGAGCUGGGGGUACCUGAAGUUCGUGACCCGCGAGGGAGCGACCUAGGGUAAACUCAGUGACUGGGGCUAAGUCGUAACAAGGUAGCCGUAGAAU
rnacentral:rRNA from 1 species